GGCUUGUUUCACAAAGGCCUGCAGGUGAUCACCCACUCUUGGGCCUCCCCACUUGGGGGCCCCCUACCGCAGCCCCAGAGAGAGGAAGAUCUUAGGCCACACUGCUGGCUUACAGAGAGGGGAGCAGGACCCCCAAAUGUAGAAGCUACAAGCAAUAAUGGAUGCCCCUGCCUUCCAGAAGAGCAGGCCUCCAACACCAGAGUUUCAGAUAUUCUGCUAGUCUAAGACCUCAAAGAAAUCUUCACUGCAGUGAAAGCAGGCACCAUGCCAUCUUACCAUGAUGAGCCUGACAUGAGAAUUAGAAAUCUUGAUGUAAACAUAUGGGCACACUUGGCUAGGAUUGAAUGAACCAAACCACACAACCCCAAGUCAGAGCUAGAUGGUGAGAACGCUGUGGUAAAUUCAUGAAAUAGGACUGUGUGCACAUCUGUCACCGCACGGUUGCAGCAAGGAAAUACUCGACUCAACUUCCUAACGGUGUUAUCGUGGGGUAACCUCAAAGCCUUUUCAUCAGCACCAGUGAGCACCAGUGGCUCACGCCUGUCAUCCUUGCUACUCAAGAGGCUG